AUAAUGGAAGGUUCUCUGACAUUCCAGUCCUCAGGUGGGAGACUGGAUAGCAGAAUGAAUUAUCCAGAUGUUGGGAAAAAAAAAAAUCAUCAACACUCCUUACAGGAGAAUCUGAAUGCUACCCAAUCUGCAGUGGUAAAAAAGACCAGGAAUGAUUUUAUUGAGACCAACCACUUUUACAAGCAACAUCCUCCUCUGAACUACAAGCAUCCAAACUCUCCUCUCUGACCAAGGACUGAAGUCCUGCUGACUGAAAUGAGUUCUACAUGGCUUAAAGGAUGAGCUGAAAAGGAGACACCCAUUCUCCUUUUCUUUAUUGUGACUUUUUAAUAUUUUCUAUUUCUGUAGGACUCGAGUUCUUCAGUCAGGAGAUAUGCAUGUAUCUUGUAUGUGUGGUUUCUGGGAUUUCAAAGUUACUUUGUCACAGGAGCUUGCUGCCAAGGGCAAAGAUGAAAUGUGUGGCAAACACCGCGUUCCCAGCAGCCUUCUGGAUUUUCCAGACAAUGUGCCAAGUGCAGCAGCUCGUGAAAACUGACUUCUUAAUGGUUUGAACUGCAAUGAAGUCUUCAAGUUUCAAAACUCCCUGGAAAGGGGGAUUGUAAUACUUCUCUGAGAUGCUCUUUUCCAACAGUUUUUAAAAGAAAGGCUUUAUAAAAUUGCAAAAGUUGUCUUCAUUUUCAUUGCCAUUAACCAGCCAUUUGUCCUUUCCUCAGAAAAUGCUGAAAGUGCAGCUCCCAACAGUGCCAAAAAGGGGACCACAAAUUAAUUCAAGAAAUAUUUACUUUUCUAGGAAAAUUCCAACAGUAUGGAUACCUUGGCUUCUUUAAUCUUCUGCAAUUUCUGAUCAUUCAGGCUGCAAACACAAGAUUUGUUUCCCUGUGACAUCAGUCACAAUGAUGAGGUGACCCAGCUGGAAUUUAGAUCUCGUACUAUUUUUCCCCUGAUAUAUUCAUGAGCUCUGAACAACACAUUUAGUUUCACAUGUAGUAAGAUGUAGGCAUCUGGAUUUGGCAUAACUACUCCUUUCCAACAUAAUAAUUUUUAAAAGCCCCUUCAACAGCCACUUAACUCAAGAAUUACCUAAACUUUUAUGCCUUUUACCUGAGGUGUCUGAAGAGCUUUUUAUAUCCUGCAUGCUUAUUGCUCUUCCCUUGCACUUCAACUGUUUUUGAAGUGUUCCAGUGCCCCAGAUCCUAGCAGUGCCCAGGGCCCAUGCAAUGGUUUAGCCCACAACAGAAGCAAAACGCCUCCCUUCCACCUUCCUUGGAAUGAGAGGGAUUUCUCUGCUGCUCCUAGUGUGACUAGUCCACAUGUUCCUGGCUAUCAAAGAUGAGGUGACCUGAUCCUAUUGGUCCUUAUCGCUUUUGAAAGUGUUCCAGACAGAAUACUUGGGAUUUGCUGGCAUUUGAGAGCAAGCCAGUGACCCUGUGGCCUGUUAAGAGAUCCUCAAGUGGAGCGAUGAGAAAGAAGUGCAAAGCAAUCCUUUGAAAGCAUUGGGGCAUUACUCACCUUAAUGAUCUAAUGGUCAAAAAGGCAGGCAUCACAACU